rnacentral:rRNA from 1 species
AUGGACUUCUACCCCUAUGCCGGCCAGUUCCCCCGCGGCCGCGGCCGCCAUGCCAUCGCCACCGGCACUGUCCCUGACAGUUGCCCCCGGCCGUGGGCGCUGCCGGAGCACUGGUGCCACUGGAAGGUGGUGACGCCCAAUAUGAUGGUGGCCAUGGCGCCCGGCCCUCUAGCCAUGCGGCGAUACGGCCCGGACAUGACACUGCAGGAGGCGCUCGACGGCCGCGAUGACCCCUAUCAGACGCUCCCCCGAGAGGCCACGGCGGCGCUCCUCAAUGCCUACUAA